rnacentral:rRNA from 1 species
UAAUACGUAGGGUGCAAGCGUUAAUCGGAAUUACUGGGCGUAAAGCGUGCGCAGGCGGUUUUGUAAGACAGGCGUGAAAUCCCCGGGCUUAACCUGGGAAUUGCGCUUGUGACUGCAAGGCUGGAGUGCGGCAGAGGGGGAUGGAAUUCCGCGUGUAGCAGUGAAAUGCGUAGAUAUGCGGAGGAACACCGAUGGCGAAGGCAAUCCCCUGGGCCUGCACUGACGCUCAUGCACGAAAGCGUGGGGAGCAAACAGGAUUAGAUACCCUGGUAGUCCACGCCCUAAACGAUGUCAACUGGUUGUUGGGUCUCUUCUGACUCAGUAAUGAAGCUAACGCGUGAAGUUGACCGCCUGGGGAGUACGGCCGCAAGGUU